AGAUCAGGCAGGAUUACCCGCUGAACUUAAGCAUAUCAAUAAGCGGAGGAAAAGAAACUAACAAGGAUUCCCCUAGUAACGGCGAGUGAAGCGGGAAGAGCUCAAAUUUGUAAUCUGGCACCUUCGGUGUCCGAGUUGUAAUCUCGAGAAGUGUUUUCCGCGCCGGACCGCAUACAAGUCUGUUGGAAUACAGCGUCAUAGUGGUGAGAACCCCGUAACUGAUGCGGAUGCCCGGUGCUUUGUGAUACACUUUCGAAGAGUCGAGUUGUUUGGGAAUGCAGCUCAAAUUGGGUGGUAAAUUCCAUCUAAAGCUAAAUAUUGGCGAGAGACCGAUAGCGAACAAGUACCGUGAGGGAAAGAUGAAAAGCACUUUGGAAAGAGAGUUAACAGUACGUGAAAUUGUUGGAAGGGAAACGCUUGAAGUCAGACUUGCUA
rnacentral:rRNA from 1 species